ACCACUGCCUCCACUACCCAAAGAACCAACAAAAUUUUUGCAUAAUCUUUCUUCAAAUGAUUUAAUUUUUCUCCCUCAACAAUCUAAAAUCUAAUAUUAUCAUUUAUCAAUUCCAACAUCAUCAACUCAACUACUGCUAUUUCUUCUCAAUUUUAAUGGUUUGAGCAAUGGAAAUGGAUAUCUAAUAAGCUUGUUUGGCUUCAUAACAGUUUGAAGUAAUUGAUUUCAUCCUUCACAAGCUUAGUUUCCUUUAUCCAUCUCCAUUUUCAUGUAUCGAAGAAAACGGUGGUAGUGUUGCUAUCAAGAAUUGUCUCUAUUUCUCUCGCCUUACUUCAGAACAUCAAAAACUUGUUAAUAAAAUUUCAAAACCAAAUUAGAAAAACUUGUUGAUGUUGUUGUUCAUCAUCAUAAACUCAUCAUCUUCUAUUUUUAAUUCGAUAAUUUGUGGAGAAGGGUAUUCAGUUUUUUUUUUUAGUUUAAUUUGAUGUUUUGUAGUUAUUUGUAU
rnacentral:lncRNA from 1 species